rnacentral:rRNA from 1 species
ACAACUCUAGAGAUAGAGUCUUCCCCUUCGGGGGACAAAGUGACAGGUGGUGCAUGGUUGUCGUCAGCUCGUGUCGUGAGAUGUUGGGUUAAGUCCCGCAACGAGCGCAACCCUUAAGCUUAGUUGCCAGCAUUAAGUUGGGCACUCUAAGUUGACUGCCGGUGACAAACCGGAGGAAGGUGGGGAUGACGUCAAAUCAUCAUGCCCCUUAUGAUUUGGGCUACACACGUGCUACAAUGGACAAUACAAAGGGCAGCUAAACCGCGAGGUCAUGCAAAUCCCAUAAAGUUGUUCUCAGUUCGGAUUGUAGUCUGCAACUCGACUACAUGAAGCUGGAAUCGCUAGUAAUCGUAGAUCAGCAUGCUACGGUGAAUACGUUCCCGGGUCUUGUACACACCGCCCGUCACACCACGAGAGUCUGUAACACCCGAAGCCGGUGGAGUAACCAUUUAUGGAGCUAGCCGUCGAAGGUGGGACAAAUGAUUGGGGUGAAGUCGUAACAAGGUAGCCGUAUCGGAAGGU